UUCUUCUCUGACUCACUCUACCUCAGUCAGGACUCUCUCCUCACUUUCUGCAAAGAUACAGCUACUGUUUCUCUUUCACUUGAAUCUCCUCAUGGAAUCUCUUCCCUCUGCCUUGCUUUUAAGCACCAGGAUUCUUUAGAGGCCUUUCUCAGUUUCCUUGUUCUCAUUUUGUACAAUAUUAAAAAAAUUGUCUAUUUCUAUGGUCUCUAGUACUCCCUCCAGCUGAAGAUUUUUCAAGUCUGUAUUUUCAGCUCAGACCUCCAAGGUAAGUUUCAGAUCUCUGGAUUCAACAGCUUCGGUAAGUAACUACCGUUAUCUGAACCCUAUGAGUUCCAAACUAAGUUUAUAAUAAUUCCCUCUUCCAAAACUUCUCCUUUGCUACUGGGAACUGAAGCCAGGGCCUUGCAGUUGCUAGGCAAGAGCUCUGAUAUGAAGUGUACUGCAUAUCCAGCCCCUCCUUGAUUGUCUUUCUCAUGAUAUUCCAUCUAACAACUUUCAAUUUCCCCCACCAGAAACUGGGUUUCAUGUGGACCUCAUCCACCCUCUCUGCUUCUAAUCAAUCUUCAGGUUCUCUUGAUUCCAUUUUCCAGAAGUGGCUCUCAGAUCCAUCCACUUCUCUUCAUUCCCACUGCCAGCACCUCCUAGGCUGGCAUCAGCUUUCAACCAGAUCUGGGUAAUGCAAUGGCUUUCUAAAGUACCCUGCAUUCCGUGUCAUGCUUCCAUCCAUUCUCAACACCAUGAAACUAAUCCUGCUAGCACGACUGAAUUCUUCAGUGGUCCCAAUGCCGCGGGAUAAAAUCUACAAUCUCUAGCAAGGGCUAUAAAGCACUCCAUAAACACUCUAGGCUGGUCCAGCCUGAACGUUUUUAUGUACCGUUAGUGGUCCAUGUUCCCGUCAUUCAAAAACUACGUUGUAUUGAUCAAACAUGCUCUGGGCUUAAACUAGAGCUUUUUAGACAAGCUGUCGUUGCCAAAGACACUUUAUGCCUCCUCUGCCCCUUCACUUUUAGCUCUCUGCCUGUUGUGUUUUCUUUAAUUCAGCAUAUAUCCCACUGUCCAAUAAACCCAUCCUAACUCCCAAGGGUAGGAGCCUAGAGGUGUUCCUCUUGUAUACUCCCUCUUUCUCCUCUUUGUGCUGCUGUUCCUGGCUUACUUGUCUGUUUCCCUACAACCCCAGAGCUCCGUAAAGUAGGGUUGUGUCAGUUUUGUUAAACUCGUAUCCUUGUUGCCUAGCACAGUUUCUGGUUCAAUAAAUAUUUCCUGAAUGAAAGAAUCUAAGGGACAGUGGGUAACAGCCAAACCGAGGAAGCAUGGAUUGCUUUAUGGUGCUAGACUAGAGAGCUAGAGAGCUGGACCUGCUGGCAAGAAGAGGCCCGUGCGUCCCACCUGUGUGGUGCUGAGCUUGGGACUGACAGAGCCGGUGCAGGGCCAGAGGCUUUGAAACAGAUGGUACGAAGGUGUGAUGGAGUUGUAAGAGCUUGCGGGGCGCAGUGUGUGGAGGCGAGCGACCUGUGUAGAAGCCGGGGAAGUGCUGCCAGGGUUCUCGGUUGGUGUUAUGAGGUGCAUGAGAAAGGCUCAGGGAGGCACCCACCUCUGGUCCCGGUUCCGCGGAGGCGAGGGGGCUCGCAGCUGAGGUUGCCGGCAUGACUGGUGUUGAGAACCGGGACCCCCGGGCGGCACCCGGGCUCCUGUACGCUGCGGUUCAGCUUGAGCAGAUCCAUGGCCCUGUGAAGUCCCACUCAGCUCCGCCAAGCCGGCUCCAGCGCCGGUUCCACCUGCUCCCGCAGCGCGGGUGGCUCAGGUUCCCGCCCACCGCCCUGCCCGCCCCUCCCGGUUCCCGCCCUCUGCCCCGGCCCCUCCACUGCCCUUGCAGCCUGCCCCUGGUUCCAGCAGGUCCCAGGCUCUGAGCGGCUUUUGUCCCACCAGGUGACACUUGGCGCGCCUCCUCCGCUCCAGAGUUCCGCGCGCGCUGCUGGGUGACUGCUCUCCAGGCUCGCCCCCGCGUUAGGUUCUCCUGUCUUCUCUCAGAGAUGUCUUUUCUGCCCACCUCUCGAAUCAAUGCCCCUAUCUCUGUGUGUGUGUGUGUGUGUGUGUGUGUGUGUGUACGAGUGUGCGCGCGCGGGCACACACACACACACACACACACACACACACACACACACGGGCAUCUGCGCGCGCUCCUGCGGGAGGAGAUGACAUGAUGGGGGCGGGGGGCCGUGAGUAACUGCUGUAGGGUCCAGCAUUUUUCUUUGGUGGUUUAGAAGACGUGGAGGUGGCGGUGGUGAUCCGGUUUGCAUCCCGGGUUCCCCGCUACAGAGCAGGUGCCUGAGCCCGCCUGGAGCCGCAGUUACCCUGCUCUGCCGCAGUGGCCCCAGCGACCCCCUCAGUAUCACCACUACCUUAGCUCCUUGCAGCUCUUUGGUGAGGGCUGGAGUAGCCCUGCCUCGGCACACCCCACCUCCUAUGAGAAACCCAAAACCCGGGCUUCUGCUCCGAGGCCUCCAACAAGGUCCCGGAGGGCCUCUUGCUCACAACGGAGACUGUACAAGGGAAAGGGCUGACUCGAGCUGAGAGUGGGCUCAGGCACUGGGGGCGGCCGGAAAUGCAAGUGAGAACUGCAUUUCUCACUUGCAGUGAGAAAUGAACCCAGUUGAGGUGUAGCAGGGUUAGUCUAGCCCUGGCCUUACCCGGGGGAAAGAUAGGGAGCAAGGCAGCUUGGUCGGCUCCCUCGGCUGGUCUCUAGGCAGCAUCCACCAGCCCCUGAAACGCUGAUGCUCUCUGUUUGCCCUCAGCACAAGGGCAGCACCCGUGUGCAGCGCUGGGUUCCCACGAGAGGGGGUGGAAGAGGGCUGGGUCUCUAGGAUGCGGCGGGCAGGAAUAAAGCUGGAAGGUGCAUGCGGUGAGCAAGACUGAGGCGGACUCGGCUUCCUGAGGCAGGACAGGCCUCCUCUACUUCAGCCUUCUUUCUUCCACUCUUCCCCAUUCCAAAGAAAUUCCAGCAUGAUGCGAAAUAUCAUCUUUUGGGCUCCCAAAGAGGUGGGGAGGGCGCGUCCGAGGAGCAAGAGAGAACUGGAGUUGGGUGGAGUCUGGCUAUAUGGGGAAUUCAGAAUUAGCAUCCCAUGGCCGUUUUGGAAAGGAUCUGCCUGAUCAGUCAGCGCUGACAGGUUCCUGAGGGCUGAAGCACUGGAGAAAGGGUUAAACCGGGAUGUCAUCACCGACUCCCUCCCGCUUGCUUCGUUGUCUCCCUUGCUCUUUUGAGAGCCCUGGAUCAGUGGAACUUGAUGUGCUGUUUGUUCAGCCUCAGCACAGGUGGCCUCUCUGAUAAUCCGAUGAACUUUUCCCACAUUGGACGAUGGUAGCACCGAGGAACGAGGGGGCAAAGGCAAUGGAGGAGGGAGGAAGGAGAUGUAGAUUGCGUUCACUCAUCCAGCAAACCACGUAGCUGUCAAUUUCGGGACUGUGUGCCACUUUCCCACGCAGUGAGUCUGCCCCUGAAGAGCUCCCACUGCAGUGGGGAUUUUACCGGAUAAGCCAGAGACUGCAAAUUCAACUGGGAAGAUGUGCAGAUCGAAAAAUUAGGACUCAGGGCUGGAGAGCUGGUAUUAAGAGCGCUUGCUGCUCCUGCAGAGGACCCGGGCUUGUUCCCAGCGCUGACCAGAUGAUGGGAUGAGAUGAGUGCUGUACCCAAGAUUUACAAAUUCAUGAUUUGGGCUGAGCCCAGAGCAUUUCUAACAAACUAUCCCUAGGCCUAGGUUUGGAAGCUUCUAGCCUUCAUACAAUCUAAUCUUCUGCAAGUUCGGGCAUGAAGACUUCAGCUUCCCACCUCCUUCUGCUAACCACUGUUGAACAAGCUCAUCUUUUCUAGUUCUCGCUGAACUAUGGCUGCCUGGUUUAAUUCAGCUGUUACGGCUCAAAACUCCUCUCUGGGCUGACUGAUUCAAACUGGUAUCUCUCUGCUGUUUACUGAAUUGCUCUGAUUGGAAAAACGGUCUCUGGAUUCCACCAACUGGAUUACACCAACUCAACUGAACUGCACCAAACCUCACUGAACUGUACUACACUCCCAAACUUCACUGUGCUGUCGUCUCCAACUCUCCUGCUCUCUUUCUGCACUGCUCUUAAAUAAAUUCUCUCCCCUUUCUGUUUUCCCAAGAA